GUAGAGACUUUAAUGAAGAUUUUUUUUGUUUUGUACGUGGUUUUAUUUUGAUACUUAGUUGGUUGAAAUUGGUUAAGUGAAGGAACUUUAAAGGGGAUUUUUUUUUUGAUGUGGUUUUGUUUAGAUUCUUAGAUGGUUGAAGAUGGUUUGGUAGGUGACUUAUUCACUUGAAAAUGGUUAAGUGUAGAAACUUUAAAGAGGAUUUUUUUGUUUU
rnacentral:lncRNA from 1 species